GGGUGACUUCCUGCAGCAACCACUGUACAAGGCAGCCACAGAAGCCCAGCAGAAAGCAGGGAUUUCUCAUGCACACUCACCAGCUCCAUGCACAGCCUCCAAGUUUUCGUCUCUUACAAUUGCUGCUACAACAGCCUGAAUACUCUCGUGUAAAGUCUCAGAUUACAAAGUAGGAGGUAGAAGAAAAAAAAGGGGGAAAAAUAAAGGAACAGGAACCUCAGAAGCAAGAAAAAUACAGUAAGACAUGCUUAACUUGGUGGCACCUGCUGAUACUCUCCAUACUCAGAGUUCACUCCAGCUUGGGGAGCAGGAGGAAUGAGUGUGCAGAAGAGAUGGUGCUGGAUGAACUGCAGUCCUGCCUCAGGGAGCCAUGAAGAUGAGCUGAUGCAGAUGGAGCCACCCAGCAGAAACAACAAACUGGGGGAGCUGCUUCUGGUCACAGACAGAUAACUCCUGCAGCUGAGAAUGGAGUGGGGAGAACAUUGGGAGACACAUGACAGCAGGGCAGAAACAGCUUGGAGAAGCAGAGGCAUAGUAAGAAAGGGCAUAUGGUAAAUAUUUGGUAAGACUUUUAAGGGGAGAUGAGUAGAAUACAAUCCACAAGAAAGGUGCCUGCAGGAAAUUGAACAUACUAAAAUAAACACCAUACAUGGUAUAAAGGGUUAAGGACAAAUACAGAGCAGGCUGUAUGUUCCAAGUCACAUUUGA